rnacentral:lncRNA from 1 species
CCUGCUUCAGGAGGAGCAGAACUAACAUCCCCAGGUUUCAUAUGGAUUUGUCUUCCCUCCUCCAUACAUUGUCUGCUCAUCUUGGAAUCAUCCAAAUGCUGGCCAGAGGGUGAGGAGACUUUGAACUUGGCUAUAUCAGCAUGUAAUUCUUUACAGUGGGACAGCGUCAGCAGACUGAAGCUGAAGAACUUUCUUCUAUGUUCUGCAUUUACCCUCAGAUUGUUCUCAUCCCACAUCUUUCUCCUUAUCAGUGGAGUCCAAGACUGUGCCUGACUAACCUCCUAUGAUGGAGUGAUGGAAGACAAAGUAGUAGACAAAGGAAGAACUACCUGGACUUCUUUGACGCCUUUGGUAUGGUCCUGCACUACAUUCUUUUCUCCAAACUGGACAGAUUUGAAGGAUGAAAUGUUGAGUGGAUAAGGAAUUGGUUGGAAAGUCGCAGCCAGCGGGUUACAGUCAGUGGCUCAAUGUGCAGGAGGAGGCCAGUGAUGAGUGGUGUCCCUCAGGGAUCUGGUGCUCUUUAACACCUUUACUAAUGACCUUGAUAGAGGGAUUGAAUACACC